GACGAACGCUGGCGGCGUGCUUAACACAUGCAAGUCGAACGGAAAGGCCCUGCUUUUGUGGGGUGCUCGAGUGGCGAACGGGUGAGUAACACGUGAGUAACCUGCCCUUGACUUUGGGAUAACUUCAGGAAACUGGGGCUAAUACCGGAUAGGAGCUCCUGCUGCAUGGUGGGGGUUGGAAAGUUUCGGCGGUUGGGGAUGGACUCGCAGCUUAUCAGCUUGUUGGUGGGGUAGUGGCUUACCAAGGCUUUGACGGGUAGCCGGCCUGAGAGGGUGACCGGCCACAUUGGAACUGAGAUACGGCCCAGACUCCUACGGGAGGCAGCAGUGGGGAAUAUUGCACAAUGGGCGGAAGCCUGAUGCAGCAACGCCGCGUGCGGGAUGACGGCCUUCGGGUUGUAAACCGCUUUCGCCUGUGACGAAGCGUGAGUGACGGUAAUGGGUAAAGAAGCACCGGCUAACUACGUG
rnacentral:rRNA from 1 species